rnacentral:lncRNA from 1 species
GAAGAGAAAUCAAAUCAAUUGAUUGGUUUGGCGAGAGGUGAGGAAGGGAGUAAAGCACCUGGAGAAGAAUGAAGGAGAAGAGACAGAAGGAUGAGCGGAUAAGGCCAACGGAGAAGGAUAAAUAACCUUGGGUGAUAUGGGUCACUUGAUUUGGUUUCAUGAGUGAGCAUACUUUUAUCUAAACAAAUAGUUAAAGGGAAAAAAUCAUGCAUAAUUUAUAUUCCCUCAUUCCAAUUCCUCCAUUCCAAACACUCUCUUAUACAAAUUUUCUAUGUUUUUUCAAUCCUCUGUUUUGUCCAUACCUUCAUAUCCUAUUCCUAUGUUUUUCCUCAUUCCUCUAUUAUCAAUUCCUU